GACGAACGCUGGCGGCGUGCUUAACACAUGCAAGUCGAACGGAAAGGCCCCUUUGGGGGUACUCGAGUGGCGAACGGGUGAGUAACACGUGAGUAACCUGCCCUUGACUUCGGGAUAACUUCAGGAAACUGGGGCUAAUACCGGAUAGGAAUCCUUGCUGCAUGGUGGGGGUUGGAAAGCUUCGGCGGUUUUGGAUGGACUCGCGGCUUAUCAGCUUGUUGGUGGGGUAGUGGCUUACCAAGGCUUUGACGGGUAGCCGGCCUGAGAGGGCGACCGGCCACACUGGGACUGAGAUACGGCCCAGACUCCUACGGGAGGCAGCAGUGGGGAAUAUUGCACAAUGGGCGGAAGCCUGAUGCAGCAACGCCGCGUGCGGGAUGACGGCCUUCGGGUUGUAAACCGCUUUCAGCAGGGGCGAAGCUUGUGGUGACGGUACCUGCAGAAGAAGCACCGGCUAACUACGUG
rnacentral:rRNA from 1 species